rnacentral:lncRNA from 1 species
UGNAUAACCUUUCCAAUCCCUUCAAUAUUGGAUGUUGUAGAAUUUCCCAUGUAAAGACACUCAUUAUGAUUCAAGGUCUUAUAUUCAGCGAAUAGACCCUUAUCUGCACAGAUGUGACGAGUGGCUCCUGUGUCCAACCACCAAUCCUUGGCAUUAGAUACCAAAUUAACUUCAGAAACAACAGCAGAUAAGUUGAUGUCUUCAACAUCCGUAGAAAUUUUAUCCACUUCGGUUAUAUUGGCUUGGGGCGGUUUCUUUUUCUGCGUAUCCUUCUUUUUGCUUCGAUAGUCUUUAGCCCGAUGUCCCGGCUUCCCGUAAGUAUAACAGUUGCCUUUGAACCGUUUUGCAUUGUUGACUUUUUCUUUGUCCAUAGAUGAGCCAGAACGCUUCCUUUUCUUGUUCUUAGACCCCGAGUCUUCUACCAUGUUAGCCUUUGCUUCCAUGUUGCGGACAUUAUUCUUCUUUUCUGCAGCCCGGUUGUCUUCUUCAAUGCGAAGUCGAACAAUUAGAUCCUCC